CCUACGGGAGGCAGCAGUGGGGAAUAUUGCACAAUGGGGGAAACCCUGAUGCAGCGACGCCGCGUGAGCGAUGAAGGAUUUAGGUAUGUAAAGCCCUAUCAGCAGGGAAGAAAAUGACGGUACCUGACUAAGAAGCCCCGGCUAACUACGUGCCAGCAGCCGCGGUAAAACGUCGGGGGCAAGCGUUAUUCGGAUUUACUGGGUGUAAAGGGAGAGUAGAAGGUUGAGCAAGGCAGAUGUGAAAGUCCGGGGCUCAACCCCUGGACUGCAGUUGAAACUGUGUGGCUGGAGUGUCGGAGAGGCAGGCGGAAUUCGUGGUGUAGCGGUGAAAUGCGUAGAUAUUAGGAGGAACACCAGUGGCGAAGGCAGCCUGCUGGGCUUUUACUGACGCUGAGGCUCGAAAGUGUGGGGAGCGAACAGGAUUAGAUACCCGGGUAGUC
rnacentral:rRNA from 1 species